AAUCACUCGCAAAAGUCAACACAAGUCUCUGAUGAUAUUAGUCACUUUGUCAAAGCGGGUAUGGAAUAUUCCAUUGGUCUUAUACCAAUAAGAAAUUCAGUAAUAAACUGGACUAGUCUUGUUCAAUUGGUCACAUUCAACACCAUCAACCUAAUGAGGGGAGUGGCCGAUAUCGAUGGUACUAUAUCAAAACAGUAAUUAUCAUUUGAUGAUCAAUUCUAUCAAUAUCAGGGAACUUUUGUUUUUUGUAGGCUAACCUGAUUUUUUCACGUUUCAGCAAGAACUAUUGGGAAUGCAAAGUGGAGACAAUGAAGAAUCAGAAGAAGAUUCAGAUGAAGAUCUUGACGAAGAGGAUGAUGAUGAAGAUGAGUUUGAUGAUGAGGAUAUAAUGAGCAGUGAAAACAAAAACAAGUUAGAGCGAGAGGCUGUGUCCUCAUUACUGAGCCUGUCAGAGGUGACAAUCCAAGCGGCUGUUCAAAGCAAACACGUUCUCGCUGAUUGUUAAAUCCAUCAAAUCGGCCUUUCACGUACCCUUAUAAUUUCUGUCUGCCACCAAGACCAGUCUCAGAAGCUUGUACACCCACUUUAACAUCCAUCAGCGCUCAUCGGGAGCAUGAAAAAGUUUCGCAAAACACAGGAUUAGCAAGAGAGUUACAGCCCUCCAAUCCAGUAGUUGAUUGUGGGAGGUCGGAUGAUGUAGGACUUGCUGCUGGCAAUAAACAUCGCACUACUAUUUCCCAUCCAUCCGAGAUACUGCUGAUCUAUCUUUGGAAGAAGAUUCUAGUCAAGAUGAAGAGAUGGCUGUCACAACUAUUAGUGGCCCUAUUGAUCUCAGUAGAAGUAAAAGUAAUAAUAACAAUAACCUAAGAAAAUUAUCCACGAGUAGUCUCCCAUCACGACUGAGCAUUUCAACGCAUUCCCCUCUUCCAGCAGAUAUCCUAACUACAGUCUCAGAACCAGCUUUACUUCUAGCCACCUUAUGCUCAUCAAUGGAGCGAUUACCUGUAACAAACACUGUAGACCCUGCUGAGGAGGCAGCCAUGUUACAAGUUUAUCUGAAAGAAAAAGCUAUGCAAGAUCUCAGAAUGAAACAAAUGCAAUACCAAACAGCUCUCAACAGCAAAAUUUCAAACAAAGGGAAGCUCUACGCUCCAACUUUAGAAAAAGAUAGUAAACUCGAGUCUCAGACUGGAUUCAAUAUUGAAUUAACCAGUUCUAGGGAAGAGAAAAAGAGUGCAAUAUUAGACUCAAUACUUAAGUCUGACUCAUUAAUGGAGAAUAAUGGAAAAUUCAUGAAUGAGCCGCGUAACUUGCAACAAAAAAUUUUCGAAAGUGUUUCCUCUGUCUAUGAGAAAGCUCUUGAUUCUGUGAAAACAGUUAAUUCAGUGGCCAAAGAGAAUGCGCUAGAUAUUUUGGCUCACACAACUUCAGAGGCUAAAAGUCCUCAGAAAUGCCUAGCGUUUCAUCCCCUAGCAAAUUAA
rnacentral:lncRNA from 1 species